rnacentral:rRNA from 1 species
UGGGGAAUAUUGGACAAUGGGGGCAACCCUGAUCCAGCAAUGCCGCGUGUGUGAAGAAGGCCUGCGGGUUGUAAAGCACUUUCGUUGGGGAGGAGAGGGUAAUGAGGAUAAGUCAUUAUCGGAGACGUUACCCAAAGAAGAAGCACCGGCUAACUCUGUGCCAGCAGCCGCGGUAAUACAGAGGGUGCAAGCGUUAAUCGGAAUUACUGGGCGUAAAGCGCGCGUAGGUGGAAGAAUAAGUUGGAUGUGAAAUCCCCGGGCUUAACCUGGGAGUGUCAUCCAAUACUGUUCAUCUAGAGUACAGUAGAGGGAAGUGGAAUUUCCGGUGUAGCGGUGAAAUGCGUAGAUAUCGGAAGGAACACCAGUGGCGAAGGCGGCUUCCUGGACUGAUACUGACACUGAGGCGCGAAAGCGUGGGGAGCGAACAGGAUUAGAUACCCUGGUAGUCCACGCCGUAAACGAUGAGAACUAGCCGUUGGGUCCUUAAAACGACAUAGUGGCGCAGCAAACGCGAUAAGUUCUCCGCCUGGGGAGUACGGCCGCAAGGCUAC